rnacentral:lncRNA from 1 species
GCAGAGACACAGGAGGAGGGAGAAGCAGGUUCCAUGCAGGAGCCCGAUGUGGGACUCGAUCCAGGGUCUCCAGGAUCACACCCCGGGCUGCAGGCGGCGCUAAACCGCUGAGCCACCAGGCUGCCCCAAAGUCAAAUUCAAUUCUGCUUCUCAGCUAACAAAAUGACCCCCCCCAUCUUUUAUUUGUGCCAUGAGGUUUUUGUGUUUUCUUUUUCACUUACUCAGCCCCAAAAAUAUGUAUUAGAAUCCUACUACGUUCUACACCUCUUUUAUUGUGUCUGUCGUGGAGCUGGAGUUUGAGGGAUUGGUAUAAUCUGAACAAGCAGAAAAGGCAGGAAGGUGAUUAUAGGAGGGGGAACAAACAGGAGGCCGUGGAAGUUAUGAUGCGCUUGACGAGCGAAAUAUGGCACAUCUGAAAUACGGCCUGGGAGGAGGAGGGGUAAGAUCAGAGAUCAGCCUGGGGCCAGACUGUGCACAGGAGCCGUCGCCUUAGCAGCAGGUGAUCGUGAUCAUCCCUGCAGCCAAGGGCAGGGGGGAAUGAAGAGGGAAGGAGGCGAGGAGGCUAACUAGCUGGUUGAUGCAAGAGGUCAUGGGGUCAGGACAAGGUCAACAGUCGUUGGAAAGGAGGAGGUCAGGAGGGUUGGAAACCAUUUAGAGGUGGGAGAGACGGAAGAUGGCUGCUUCCCAGAUGUGGAAAGGGGGGCAGGGGAAGUCAGUUGAGACAGCGCUCCCAGAACUCGGGGUUGAUUAGAGGUGGGAGGCCCGUCGCAGGGGGCGCAGCCGCUCUACUAGCGUAGGCUGCGAAGGUGGAUGUGGUUAAGCUACAGGAGCCUGGGAGGGAGGCACUUGGGCUGCCAUCCGGGAGGCCCGCUAGGCUGGGCAGCCCCCCAGCUGCUCCUCGAGUUCAGGCCCGACAGUCCCCGCAGCCCAGGUCGCUUCCUGAGGUCAGCAAGCAGGUCACCCUUCCAGCGUCCUUCGCCUCCUUUCGUGUCCCCACGAGGGCACGUUGUCCUCUCGCAGCAUCAGAAGAGGGAAAGGCCAGCCAUGGACGAGCGAAACAUCCCAGAGGAGGAAGAAAUAGAACCUAAUCUUCACUGAAUAAAAAGGCUGUUAAAAGAAAGGAGAACAGGUCAGUUAUUUUUUCAUCUCUCAUGAGGAUAUUAGUAGAGAAACCUUUCAAAUUUCAACUGCUGACACUUCUAGAUAACCAUGAAGAUGAAAUAAAAUAGGUACUAAAAUAAACUACAACCUAAAUGUGUGCAGGUCCUUUCCAUGUGACAGAGGAGACCCUUCUAGGUGGGGAGGUUUUGCGCAGAGACACCGAGGAGGUGGUAAAGGAUGGUCUCUAGCUCUCCUGGGUUUCAGAAAGCACCGGGUCAGAUUUCCAGCCGACGGCUCGAAUUCAAGCUGCCCGCUAGAUGGCCCUAGGACCUACCGGGGUCCUUUAAGCCGAGGACCGUUUGUUCUGGCAAAGCAAUAAAGUACUGCGGAUUCAACUACAGGUGUGAUUGAAGGAGGCCUCUUCUAAGGGAAAACUGUGCAGUGAUUGUCUAAAACAUCUAAUAACAAAUUAUUAACUUACCUAAAGAGAUGGAGAGUUGAACCCGUGCUAUCUUUACUGUCUCCCAACCUACACUCCCUUUAAAGACCAAGAACAAAAGCAGAAUUGUAAAUCCAUAAGGAAGUGAAGAAGAGGGAAGAUAAGAACAGCAGACCAAGGCACAUUUCUAGGAAGGUGACAACCCAAUGGCUUAAUGUGGCUGGUCCGGGAAAAAGCUGAAACUCAAGCACCAACAGAGGGGGAACCAGUGAGAAGGAAGUCUAUCCCACCUAAAGGGGCGGGGAGGGGGGAGUGCUCAGAAAUCAAACGUGUCCCCCUGCCCUGGCCCAAGAAGGCAGGGGCAAGGAGUGAACGGAAAACAAAAUAAAAUUUGGGGAACUAUGCAUCUUGGUCUGCAGACCUCUCAGCCCCUUUGCCUGCUCAAUUCCCAGAUAGGUGGUCAGUCCAGGCUGCUGUGCUCUCUCCACGGCCAGAGAGUGGUGGGUCCUUCUGUGGUCCAACACUGGGGAAAGGCCUCUACAAACUGAUUCACUCCAGGCUUGUUAAACCUCCACUGAAGCUCACCACUCAUCAGGCUUUCCCCUUCCCAUCAAAAUCAGUUUUUUUCCAUUCUGGCUCUUAGAUACAGAUAGACAGCCAAGAAUCACCACACAUUUUAGGAAAGUUUCCGACAGAAGGGACAGAGACCAGACAGGUGAGGGGAAGGGAGCAGAACUUAGAAGAAACAGAGAUAAUGGAGACAACAGAAGAAAAUUUCAAAGAAACUAGUAUCCUUCUAAAAAAGAAGAAAAGUUAUUGGACCCAUAACAUAAAAAGAGGUGACAUUAAAAGUUGUUUUUUUUUUUUUUCAAAGAGAAAGAAGCAAUCAGAGAAAAAGAAGGUUUUGGAAGUUAAAAGUAUAAUAACCAGGAUGAAAACCAUUUCAAUAGAAAGGUUAGAAGAGAAUCUUAAGGAAACUGCCCAUUAAAUAAAACAGAAAGCAAAAGAAGAGGAGGAGGAGGAGGAGGAGGAGGAGGAGGAGGAGGAGGGAGAAAAGGCAAAAUAAUAGGAACAUUAGGAGGUAAAUCUAGUCUAACAUGAGACUAAUGGAAGUCCUAGAAUGAGAAAUGAGAAUAAGCCAAAAGGAAGAAAUUAUUGAAUAAAUAUGAAAGAAAUGGGUAAAAGGAAUGAGUUUCCUUAUUGAAAGCAUCUACUUAGGACCCAAGUUAUUGAAUUAGAAAAAAAAAAAUCUACAGGCACCUGCGUGGCUCAGUCAGUUAAGUGUCCAACUCUUGUUUCUACUCAAGUCAUGAACUCAGGGUCCUGGGUUCGAGCCCUGCGUCAGGCUCUGCACAAAGCAUGGAGUCUGCUCGAGAUUCUCUCUCUCCCUCUGCCCCUCCCUCCUCUCUCUCUCUCUCCCUCUCUUUAAAUAAUUUUUUUUUAAAUCUAAGGCAUAUCACUGUACAACUUUAGAACAUAAGGGAUGAAGAAUUAAUCCUAAAAGCCUUGGGGCUAUAGUUACAAAGAACAAGUAAUCAGAACAUGCUGGGUACCUCUACAGUGGAAACUAGAAGCUAAUAGAACAAUGCCUUGGAAUACCAAGGAUAAAUCAUCUUUACACCUAGAAUUCUAUACCCAACCAAACUCUCAAUAGAGUUAGAAGGUGGAAAAUAGGUCUUUUCAGACAUGUAAGUCCUCAAAGAACCUACCUCCAAUGCACCCUUCCACAAGAAGCUACUGGAAGAUGUUUUCUACCAAAACAAGGGAGUAAAUCAAGACAGAGGGAACCUGAGAUCUAGGUUCUCAUGGAACCCAACCUAGGAGAGAGGUGAUGAGAAUUCUUGGGUGGUGGUGACAGGAAGCACCAGGAGAAAGCUGUGUGGUCAGGCUCUAAUAGCAUCUAGAAGAAAAAAAAAUGGCAUUAAGAGAUUUUCUCAUUUAUUUGACCUUGCUGAGGGGCACUUUUCUCUUGAAAAUUAUGGACAUGGAUUAGUAAUAGAAACAUUGAAAACUAAGCAAAUUUUUAAAACAAGGUAAUGUGUGGUCCUUCAUUAAAUCAUUGAUCUAAAUUUUUUUAAGAUUUUUUUAAAGAUUUAUUUCUUUAUUUAUGAUAGACAUAGAGAGAGAGAGGCAGAGACACAGGAGGAGGGAGAAGCAGGCUCCAUGCCGGGAGCCUGACGCGGGACUCGAUCCCGGGUCUCCAGGAUCGCGCCCUGGGCCAAAGGCAGGCGCUAAACCACUGAGCCACCCAGGGAUCCCUUUUUUAAAGAUUUUAUUUAUUCAUGAGAGACACACAGAGAGAGGCAGAGACACAGAGGGAGAUGCAGUUUCCCUGUGGGGAGCCCGAUGUGGGACUCGAUCCCAAGACCCCAGGGUCACGACCUGAACCAAAGGCAGAUGCUCAACCAUUGAGCCACCCAGAUGCCCCUAAGUUUUUUUUUAAAGACAUAAAGUCAUUACUAGAAUGGUUGGGGAAAUUUGAAUAGGAAAUACAUAUUAGAAAAUACUGUGUCGAUGUCAAAAUUUUUAAGUAUGCUAAAGGCUGUGAUUAUUGUGGUUACGUGUAUGUAAAAUCACCAGUAUGAGUGAUAGAGAAAAGAGGCUACCUAAGGAAAAAGACUUUUCACCAAAAAAAAAAAAAAAAAAAAAAAAGUGAAUGAACAUUUCCAGGUGGAAGGAAGAGCACUCCUGGCCAAUGUCAUUUGCUGGAAGGCCCAGGGCCAAGAUGAAGCAUGACUGUCUUCCAGUCAUUCAACAAACAUUGGGUGAGGGCCUCCUGUGUGUUCAGCACAGUUCUUAGUGAAAUUACAGCAGUAAACGAAGUAACAGAACCCUCCAGGCACAGCAAAAUCCCUGCAAAAAUGUUCCGAGGAGAAGCACAUCCAGGUCUGUUGAAAGAACAACUGGAAAGCUAGAGUGGCCAAGGAGAGAGCAGCAGGAGAAGCUUCCAGAGCUCUAGAGAUGUCAAUCCAGGGAGGCUCUGAGGACAUGAUAUGGAUUUUGGCUUCUAAUCAGAAUUUAUUGUGUAGAGGAAUGAAAUAAUACGCUUUAGGUCUUAAAAAGAUCCCUGUGGCUUCUGUGUUGAGAAUAGACUAUAGGAGGCCACGGGUUCAAGCAGGGAAACCAGUUGGGAGCCACUGCGUCCCCGCGGCUGUGAUGGGUCAAGGGAGGUGAGAUGUGAGAGUUAACCAGUAAGCGCAGGUUAUUAUGACCUUGACGUGAACACAUUUGGUACGUGGCGGGGUGAAACGUGGUUUGAGUUGGGCCCAUGAAAGAAUGGGAAAGGUGGAGCUAAAGGGAUGUUGAGGUAUUUGCUAGAAGGAGGGGGGGUGGGGAUGAAGCAGCAGCUGGAGGAGAUGUAAAAUCAAAGGACAGAUUUGUUUCUUUUGCAAUUGGACAAAGUAUAAAUGGAUGAAAAUAAUCCAUCAGCUGAUCAUUGAUAAUUGUUGACCUUGGGCACAGGCAAAGCCCUGUCCUCAGCUGGGAGCAGGUCAGUCACCCACAGGCACAGAGGGCAGCGCAUCCCCUCAGGCACACGUGAGCAGCUGUGGGGCCGAAAGCCUAGGUGUCCUAUUCCGGUUGCUUAUCUUUGCUUAAGAAAAUGGAAAAGCUUAAGGGUGGGAGGGGUCCUGGGGGUUGGAAAGAGGGAGGGUAUAGCAACCAGUCAUGCAGUAGAGUGCGCCCUUCGUCCAGAGGGUGUAGGAGGGGGAGAACAUUCCCGAAGGAUGUGUGGUUGUCCAACAGGAUCCCGGUUGUCCUGGGGCUGGAGCCCUGCGCAUAGAGGAGGGCGGCCUGCAGGUGGGCGGGUGGGCAGGUGGGCAGGUGGGCAG